rnacentral:rRNA from 1 species
GACGAACCUUGCUAACGUUAUUCGGAAUUAUUGGGCGUAAAGAGCUCGUAGGCGGUGUGUCGCGUCGGCCGUGAAAACCUGCAGCUUAACUGUGGGCUUGCGGUCGAUACGGGCAUCACUGGAGUUCGGCAGGGGAGACUGGAAUUCCUGGUGUAGCGGUGAAAUGCGCAGAUAUCAGGAGGAACACCCGUAGCGAAGGCGGCACUCUGGGCCGGUACUGACGCUGAGGAGCGAAAGCGUGGGGAGCGAACAGG